rnacentral:rRNA from 1 species
GACGAACGCUGGCGGCGUGCUUAACACAUGCAAGUCGAACGAAGAGCGACGGAAGCUUGCUUCUAUCAAUCUUAGUGGCGAACGGGUGAGUAACGCGUAAUCAACCUGCCCUUCAGAGGGGGACAACAGUUGGAAACGACUGCUAAUACCGCAUACGAUCUAACCUCGGCAUCGAGGAUAGAUGAAAGGUGGCCUCUACAUGUAAGCUAUCACCGAAGGAGGGGAUUGCGUCUGAUUAGCUAGUUGGAGGGGUAACGGCCCACCAAGGCGAUGAUCAGUAGACGGUCUGAGAGGACGAACGGCCACAUUGGGACUGAGACACGGCCCAGACUCCUACGGGAGGCAGCAGUGGGGAAUCUUCCGCAAUGGACGAAAGUCUGACGGAGCAACGCCGCGUGAGUGAUGACGGCCGUCGGGUUGUAAAGGUCUGUUAAUCGGGACGAAAGGCCUUCUUGCGAAUAGUGAGAAGGAUUGACGGUACCGGAAUAGAAAGCCACGGCUAACUACGUG